UAAUAUAUAUAAUAUAUACAAUAAGAAAAAAUAUAUAUAAUAAUUUUUUAUUUAUAAUUUUUUUUUCUUUUAACCAAAGAACAAUAGUAAAAAAAAACUAAUUUUAUAUUUUUAUUUAUAAAAAUAAAAAUUAUAUAUUUUUAUACAAUAUUAUAUGCAGACUAUUACAUAUAUUAUAUUAAAUACUUAUAAAUUUAUCAUAUAUUUAAUUCAUAAAUAAUAAAUAUAUAAUAUAUCAAAUACACAAUAAAAAUAAUAUUUAGUUUUUCCUUUCAACCAUUUAACCAACCAACCGUAACGGAAAAUAAAUUUUUUUUCCUACAAACCAAAAAUUUUUUCAUCCGAAAUUUUUUUUUUCCACCGAAUGUAUUUUUUUUUUCCAGUUUUACGUGGAACCAAAUGGUUCCAAAUGGUUCCACGUAAAACUGUGGAAAAAAAAUUUUCGGUGGAAAAAAGUUUUACGUCGUUUGUGUUUGGUUUGUAGGAAAAGAAAAACAGUUUUUCAUGACAGUUGUUUGGUUGAAAGGAAAAGAAAAGUAGAUGAAAAAUUAUUUAAUAUAUUUUUUAUUAUAUAUAUUAUUAAUAUAUUAUAAUUAUUAUAUAUAUUUUUUCUCUAAUUAUAUAUUAUAUAUUAUUAAUAUAUAAUAAUUAUCAUAAUAUAUUUAAUUAUUAUAAUUUAUAUUUAUAAAUAAAAUAUAUUAUAUAAUAAAUAUGUAAUAUAAUAUAUAAUAAUAUAUAUUUAAUGCUAUAAAAUAAAUUAUUAUGUAUUUGUAAAUAAUAUAUAUAUAAUAUUACACAAUAAUAUAUUUAAAUAAUAAAAUUAUAUAUAUAUAUAUAUAUAUAUAUAUGAGUUGAACUGGGCUACUAUUAGUAGCAAAAUCCCAUUGUUGCUACCAGUUUUUUAGCCUUUGGAUCAACUCUUUUUAUUAUUUCUAACAAUUGGAUUAAAUACUAUAACCCAGUGGGGACCACUCAACCCUAGGAGGACCACUCAACUCUAACCGACUAAUAUCAUUUUGACCCUACAAUUUUUUAUCCAAGAGUUAAAAAAACUUGAUAGCAAAAAGAGUUUUUACUAUUAAUAGUAUUCCAGCUUAAUUCUCUCUCUCUCUAUAUAUAUAUAUAUAUAAAAG
rnacentral:lncRNA from 1 species